rnacentral:misc_RNA from 1 species
CGGCGAUUGAGGCUAUACUCCGGUUUCCAACUCCGACGUUGGGCUGCAAAUUUUAUUAUCGAGAGGAAAGGAGAGAUGGGAGGCAAAGGAAUGCGGAGAAGAGAGCGGAAUUACAGAGCCGCACAUGGAGGCUACGAUCGUCUCCCACCGCCGCCGAACACUUCCCAAGUCGAUACUCUACCUUCCAAACUCCGCAAGUUAAUGUCCUUCACUUCCCCUGGACCUCAAGAAUCUGAGAAGGUCUCGGAGGAUAUUCAGCGAAAGCGCAAGAGAGAAGCCGUUAAUACUGAAAAGAAAUCCCAUCGAAAGGAUGCUUUGGGAAGAUCUGAUGUAAAG